GACGAACGCUGGCGGCGUGCUUAACACAUGCCAGUCGAACGGAAAGGCCCUGCUUUUGUGGGGUGCUCGAGUGGCGAACGGGUGAGUAACACGUGAGUAACCUGCCCUUGACUUUGGGAUAACUUCAGGAAACUGGGGCUAAUACCGGAUAGGAGCUCCUGCUGCAUGGUGGGGGUUGGAAAGUUUCGGCGGUUGGGGAUGGACUCGCGGCUUAUCAGCUUGUUGGUGGGGUAGUGGCUUACCAAGGCUUUGACGGGUAGCCGGCCUGAGAGGGUGACCGGCCACAUUGGGACUGGGAUACGGCCAAGACUCCUACGGGAGGCAGCGGUGGGGAAUAUUGCACAAUGGGCGGAAGCCUGAUGCAGCAACGCCGCGUGCGGGAUGACGGCCUUCGGGUUGUAACCGCUUUCGCCUGUGACGAAGCGUGAGUGACGGUAAUGGGUAAAGAAGCACCGGCUAACUACGUG
rnacentral:rRNA from 1 species